rnacentral:tRNA from 1 species
AACUUUAUAUUCAAAAUUAUGAUUUCAAAUUGCAAAUUUGAGGGUAGGUAAAUCUUAAAGUUU